GAUAAACGCUAGCGGCGCGCAUAAUGCAUGCAAGUCGAGCGAUGAGAUCCUUUCGGGGUCAUCAGCGGCAAACGGGUGAGUAACACACAGGUAACCUACCUCCAAGCCGGGGAUAACGGUCGGAAACGGUCGCUAAUACCCGAUGCGUACGGCUAGCAGGAGACUAUAGUCGUAGAAAGUUACGGCGCUUGGAGAGGGGCCUGUGGCCCAUCAGCUAGUUGGUAGGGUAACGGCUUACCAAGGCGAAGACGGGUAGGGGGUGUGAGAGCACGGCCCCCCACAAUGGGACUGAGAGACGGCCCAUACUCCUACGGGAGGCAGCAGCAGGGAAUAUUGCGCAAUGAGCGGAAGUUUGACGCAGCGACGCCGCGUGGGUGAAGAAGGCCUUCGGGUUGUAAAGCCCUUUUCUGGGGGAAGAGAGAGGACGGUACCCCAGGAAUAAGUGUCGGCUAACUACGUGCCAGCAGCCGCGGUAAUACGUAGGACACGAGCGUUAUCCGGAUUUACUGGGCGUAAAGCGCCUGUAGGCGGUAGGACAAGUCGGCUGUGAAAGCCUCGGGCUCAACCCGGGGAGGCCAGGCGAUACUGUCCAACUUGAGGGUGACAGAGGGGAGUGGAAUUCCCGGUGUAGCGGUAAAAUGCGCAGAUAUCGGGAGGAACACCAGUGGCGAAGGCGGCUCCCUGGGUCACGCCUGACGCUGAGAGGCUAAAGCUAGGGGUAGCAAACAGGA
rnacentral:rRNA from 1 species